AUUUUUAAUUAGUACACUAAUAUUUCUUAAUGGUAAAGCACUAUAAGAAAUGUUGGCCAUCAUCGCUCUUUAAAUGAGAAGACAGAAAUCACACCACUUUUAUAACAGUUCGUUAAUUCACAUCUGCACAAAUAACUGGUUGGGAAGGAAUACUGAAGUAGUAUUUUGUACCGCUCUAUUAAACUCUUUUCUCAAAACUCAGGUUAAUUCUUUGCCGGAGCAGAGAAAGUCUGUUUUUUCUGAACCAUUAAUUAAGCUUUGUGCAGCAAGUGAAACCCCAAAAUCGUGUACUAAAAACACUUCUCACUCCGAGGUGUAAUUUCUUCAUUAAAAAAAUAAUAAUAUUAAAAGAACUCUAAAUAACAUCCAAAAUAUUGACAGAGAGCCUGAAAAAAUAUAUUAAAUGCUAAAUAUACUAAUGAUUCCUUCACAGUUUUCACAUUGUUAUAUGUAUUUCCAUGUGAGAUUUCAACGUAACACUUUCACAUUUAGUAUUUGGCAAACAUAUCACUGCAUUCUCCAUUGAAAUCUAUUCAAAGUCAAUUUUACAUUCUUCGUAGUCCACCUCAAGUUUUUAAAGAUUUGGGAAAACUGCAGCAACUGUUCUUUUAGAAUCACAGAAUCAUAGAAUCACCAAAGUUGGAAAAGACCUCCAAGAUCAUCAAGUCCAACCAUCCACCUACCACCAAUAUUUCCCCACUAAACCAUGCCCCAGCAUCUAAACAUUUCUUGAACAUCUCUGGAGACGGUGUCUCAAUCACCUCCCUGGGCAGCCCAUUCUAGUACCUGACCACACUUUCAGAGAAUAAAUUUUUCCUAUUAUCCAACCUGUAUCUCUUCUGGUGCAACUUGAGGCCAUUCCCUCUCAUCCUAUCAGUAGUUAUGCAGCAGAAGAGGCCAAUACUCACCUUGUCACAAUCUCCCUUCAGGUAGAUGUAGAGAGCGAUAAGGUCUCCCCUGAACCUCCUCUUCUCCAGACUAUACAACCCCAGUUCCCUCAGCUGCUCUCCAUAAGAUUUGUGCUCCAGAUUCCUUAGGCCUCAAUGUCUUUCUUGUAGUUAGGGGCCCAAAACUGAAUGCAGUACUCAAGGUGCAAGAAGUUUAGAAUUAGAGGCACAGAAGAGCUAGAUAUGAUCUCUGCAAACAACAAAAACUUCAGAUCUUUGCCCCUAGCAGUUGUUCAAUAUACACAUCACAUCCUAACAGAUUACAGGUUAAUUUUCAGCCAGAUAUGAAUAUAAUUGCCUUUAUUCAAAAUGGUACAGACAUAGUUUCAACAUAUAAAAUAUCCAUUCCUAGAGUUCUGUAAGACUGUCACUCUGCAUGUCAUUUUUCCCUGUUAGUCUUUCUAAAUUAAAAAAGACCAUAAGCUUAAGCUCACCAUAUCUAAGACCAAAUGACAGCUUGAAGUUAAUUUGUAGGUCUGUUAAGCUCUGUAACCUCUGGUUGUAGUGAAUGUUUCUCCCUUGAUCUGACAUCUGAGUCCAUGAAAUAUACUGAGAAACGAUUCCCUAGCAAAGUUGAACAUGCAAAUAUGGGAAGCAGUUGUUGAAGAAAUUAUUAUAUACAUGACUCAGCACCAUUUGUCCAGACUUCUUUGACUUCAACUCCAACAUGUGAACUAGUCCCAUCUCAAACUCUUGCCAUUUGAUUUUUCAGAUCGUUAUAAUUAUAAUCUGAGGAAUUUGUCAAUAUUCUGUUUAUGAAUUGCAGCAGCAAGACGUGUAGAUCCAUGUAGGUUGCUCCCAAAGCAAUGCCUCUGAUUUAUUUCCAUGGAAACCU
ensembl:lncRNA